GAUGAACGCUAGCUACAGGCUUAACACAUGCAAGUCGAGGGGAAACGAUAGAGAAAGCUUGUUUUUUCUAGGCGUCGACCGGCGCACGGGUGAGUAACGCGUAUCCAACCUGCCCAUCACUUGGGGAUAACCUUGCGAAAGUAAGACUAAUACCCAAUGAUAUCUCUAGAAGACAUCUGAAGGAGAUUAAAGAUUUAUCGGUGAUGGAUGGGGAUGCGUCUGAUUAGCUUGUUGGCGGGGUAACGGCCCACCAAGGCGACGAUCAGUAGGGGUUCUGAGAGGAAGGUCCCCCACAUUGGAACUGAGACACGGUCCAAACUCCUACGGGAGGCAGCAGUGAGGAAUAUUGGUCAAUGGGCGAGAGCCUGAACCAGCCAAGUAGCGUGCAGGAUGACGGCCCUAUGGGUUGUAAACUGCUUUUAUAAGGGAAUAAAGUGAGUCUCGUGAGGCUUUUUGCAUGUACCUUAUGAAUAAGGACCGGCUAAUUCCGUGCCAGCCGCCGCGGUAACAC
rnacentral:rRNA from 1 species